CGGGUGAGUAACGCGUGAGGAACCUGCCUCAAAGAGGGGGACAACAGUUGGAAACGACUGCUAAUACCGCAUAAGCCCACGGGUCGGCAUCGACCAGAGGGAAAAGGAGCAAUCCGCUUUGAGAUGGCCUCGCGUCCGAUUAGCUAGUUGGUGAGGUAACGGCCCACCAAGGCGACGAUCGGUAGCCGGACUGAGAGGUUGAACGGCCACAUUGGGACUGAGACACGGCCCAGACUCCUACGGGAGGCAGCAGUGGGGAAUAUUGCACAAUGGGGGAAACCCUGAUGCAGCGACGCCGCGUGGAGGAAGAAGGUCUUCGGAUUGUAAACUCCUGUUGUUGAGGAAGAUAAUGACGGUACUCAACAAGGAAGUGACGGCUAACUACGUGCCAGCAGCCGCGGUAAAACGUAGGUCACAAGCGUUGUCCGGAAUUACUGGGUGUAAAGGGAGCGCAGGCGGGAAGACAAGUUGGGAGUGAAAUCCAUGGGCUCAACCCAUGAACUGCUUUCAAAACUGUUUUUCUUGAGUAGUGCAGAGGUAGGCGGAAUUCCCGGUGUAGCGGUGGAAUGCGUAGAUAUCGGGAGGAACACCAGUGGCGAAGGCGGCCUACUGGGCACCAACUGACGCUGAGGCUCGAAAGUGUGGGUAGCAAACAGGAUUAGAUACCCUGGUAGUCCACACCGUAAACGAUGAUUACUAGGUGUUGGAGGAUUGACCCCUUCAGUGCCGCAGUUAACACAAUAAGUAAUCCACCUGGGGAGUACGACCGCAAGGUUGAAACUCAAAGGAAUUGACGGGGGGCCCGCACAAGCAGUGGAGUAUGUGGUUUAAUUCGACGCAACCCGAAAAACUUUACCAAGUCUUGACAUC
rnacentral:rRNA from 1 species